rnacentral:lncRNA from 1 species
GAAGAGGGGGAGCUUAUUAGUGGGCUUAAUCUAUCUGAAGGGCUGAGUUCAUAUAGAGUAUACAAAUGAGCGAUGAAUUAUGGAACUCGUAACCCAAAACAAAACAACUUGGACCAACUGGGCCCAAAGGAGUUUAGGGCCCAAAAGUUCCAUUAAGAAUGAAAUCUCUGAAACGUGUUUUGCUUCAGUCUCGAAGAAAACACAAAAGGGAGAAUCCUAGAACGACAACAAUGGUU